rnacentral:rRNA from 1 species
AUGAACGCUGGCGGCGUGCCUAAUACAUGCAAGUCGAGCGAACGGACGAGAAGCUUGCUUCUCUGAUGUUAGCGGCGGACGGGUGAGUAACACGUGGAUAACCUACCUAUAAGACUGGGAUAACUUCGGGAAACCGGAGCUAAUACCGGAUAAUAUUUUGAACCGCAUGGUUCAAAAGUGAAAGACGGUCUUGCUGUCACUUAUAGAUGUAUCCGCGCUGCAUUAGCUAGUUGGUAAGGUAACGGCUUACCAAGGCAACGAUGCAUAGCCGACCUGAGAGGGUGAUCGGCCACACUGGAACUGAGACACGGUCCAGAAUCCUACGGGAGGCAGCAGUAGGGAAUCUUCCGCAAUGGGCGAAAGCCUGACGGAGCAACGCCGCGUGAGUGAUGAAGGUCUUCGGAUCGUAAAACUCUGUUAUUAGGGAAGAACAUAUGUGUAAGUAACUGUGCACAUCUUGACGGUACCUAAUCAGAAAGCCACGGCUAACUACGUG